AAUAAGUACAAUUUUGACACUGUUUAUAUCCAAUGUUGAUCGUUCGUCUUAUUUAAAAAAUAUAUGAUUAGUAUUUUUAUUUUUAUUACAUAAUAAAACAUGAAUAAUAUUUUAUGUGUGACUAUUUUUUAAUUUUUUUAUAAAUUUUUCAAAUAAUAUGAACGUUCAAAACGCUAAACGCGGAUAUCUAUGGCUGCACUUUUU
rnacentral:pre_miRNA from 1 species